CUAUAACCAAUUAAGCAGACUGUGUUCUUUCCCAUGGGACCUGCUCAGCAACUUCUGGAAGCAGCAGCUUCAUUGGUUGUGUCUGGAACCUAUUUGUUGUAUAGACUGUUCCAAGAAACCUUGGAGACAGUA